rnacentral:rRNA from 1 species
UACAGAGGUGCCAAGCGUUAGGCGGAAUCACUGGGCUUAAAGCUCGUGUAGGCGGUUCGUUAAGUGUCUUGUGAAAUCCCACGGCUCAACCGUGGAACUGCUGGGCAUACUGACGAUCUUGAGGCACUCAGGGGCUGUCGGAACAAAUGGUGGAGCGGUGAAAUGCGUAGAUAUCAUUUGGAACGCCAACGGUGAAAACAGACAGCUGGGGGUGUCCUGACGCUGAGACGCGAAAGCCAGGGGAGCGAACGGG